GUGCUUGCUUUGACAACACAUAUACUAAAAUUGGAAUGAUAGAGAAGAUUAGCAUGGACCCUACACAAGAAUGACAUGCAAAUUUGUGAAGUAUUCCAUAUUUUU
rnacentral:snRNA from 1 species